AUCUACCAGAUGAAUUACUCUACCGCGUCGUUUCGAACGUAUUUUCCACUGUUCUUAUUCAGAUAUGAGCCAACAGCAAAGAGCAGCUGCUCUUUUAAAGGCAGCAGAUUUGUUGAAUAUCAACACAUGUGACAGGAGUACACAAUACCAGCACUUGCACCAGUAACCUCUGUCAGUAGCACUAGUGCUGCAAAGGCAAUUUGCACCCGACAGUAAAAGAAGGAGGCAUGGACAUGCAAAUACAGGAACUGUGGCAGUGUCAGCACUGGACUAUUACUCCCAGGUGUAAUCAGGUUCCUGGUUACAACUAAGACCACCUGUUGAAGGAGCUAGACGUUACCAGGGAGAGACACCAGCACAAAGGUGAAUCAAAUUAACUGGAGCUACAAGCAGCUUAAGAAAAACCUUCAGGGACCAGUCUUAAUGUUCUGAUAAUGAUAAUAGAGUGUGUUAUGUGUUUUAUUGCUAAGAAUUUUGGCUACUCUGUAUCCAAUAUCUAAAGUGUUAUUUCAUUAAGAUUUAGAAAAAAAUAAGGCCAUUCUUAAUAAGAAAUAUUCUGCUGGAACAUAUAUCAAUCAUGCAGCAAUUUGUUGUUUGCCAUUUGAGCAUUUGGCAUGCUUUAGCUCAACAUAAUAUUAGAGAAAUUGAUUUAUUUCACAUUAUUUUACUUAUCUUGCAAUGAUUUUACAAGCAUCUUUUUACACAUCUUGUAGAUUGGUAAUCAGAUAUGUUCUUGCUAGAUUUC